CUAGGCUAAAUAUGACCACGAGACCGAUAGCGAACAAGUACCGUGAGGGAAAGUUGAAAAGCACUUUGAAGAGAGAGUUCAAGAGUACGUGAAACCGUUUAGGGGUAAACCUGAGAAACCCGAAAGGUCGAAGGAAGAAAUUCAUUCGCGUUUCGUCGCAGGCGUGGAGCGGGAUCGUGUGACGGGAAGCGUUCGCGUUUCCCGCGCCUUCCGUUCUUCGAACCGGUGACGAACGCGUGCACUUUUCUUCUGGUAGGACGUCGCGAUCCGUUGGGUGUCGGUCUACGGCUCGCGGUGGAGCCCGUUCGUCGUAUUUCUCGUACGUACGGACGGACCCGCGUGUCCCGGCUGACUCGCUCGACGGUAUACGAAAGGUUUAAGGCCGCUCUCGGAGCGUUCGGCUCGUGGCAAGCGCGCCAGAUGUGUCGGCGAUCGGACCUAGUGCCGAUUCUGACCUCUGGUGACUGUUGGCCGCGAAGUUCUCGAACAGACCUUAAGACCGAUCUGCGACGCUAUAGCUUUGGGUACUUUCAG
rnacentral:rRNA from 1 species